rnacentral:rRNA from 1 species
CGUAAUCGCAGGAAGAAGCGUACCGCUGUGACAUACCAAUUGUUGCCUCGGCGGAUCAACCCGCUCCCGGUAAAACGGGACGGCCCGCCAGAGGACCCCUAAACUCUGUUUCUAUAUGUAACUUCUGAGUAAAACCAUAAAUAAAUCAAAACUUUCAACAACGGAUCUCUUGGUUCUGGCAUCGAUGAAGAACGCAGCAAAAUGCGAUAAGUAAUGUGAAUUGCAGAAUUCAGUGAAUCAUCGAAUCUUUGAACGCACAUUGCGCCCGCCAGUAUUCUGGCGGGCAUGCCUGUUCGAGCGUCAUUUCAACCCUCAAGCCCCCGGGUUUGGUGUUGGGGAUCGGCGAGCCCUUGCGGCAAGCCGGCCCCGAAAUCUAGUGGCGGUCUCGCUGCAGCUUCCAUUGCGUAGUAGUAAAACCCUCGCAACUGGUACGCGGCGCGGCCAAGCCGUUAAACCCCCAACUUCUGAAUGUUGACCUCGGAUCAGGUAGGAAUACCCGCUGAACUUAACCAUAUCAAUAAGCGGAGAAGUGGGCG